GAAUUGUGAUGGAAGGCAACAAGAAGAAAGGCUACGCCUGGGCUAUAUUCGCCGGCGCUAACGCCGCCAUGGCCGCUAUUUGCUCCAAAUACUUCGAUUCUCAGUUCAAAUUUGCUUUGGUAAUCUUGUUCAAUGUCGUCAUGUGGGGAUGUUAUGUUAGCAGCUUGAAAGCUCUCCCAUCUCUGCAAGCUACAGUGACAAAUUUUGCCAUCAAUUUCCUCUGUUCAGGCAUGGCUGGAUUCCUUCUUUUCGAUGAAACUGUAUCAUUGCAGUGGUUUGCAGGUGCGACACUUAUUGUUGUCGGUGUAAUAAUUAUCAGCAAGUCAAGUAUAGAGGAGAAAACUCACGACGAUUAGAUAUGUCUCUUUUCCUUCCAUUUCAUCUCAUGAUAUUUGAUAUUUGAAGACCUUGAUGCUUGUAAAAUGUUCAUUAAAUUAGCCACUCUAAUCAUAUAGAGAUAUCUUCAGUGGAUGAAAUUCUAUAGAUGGUAGAAGAGUCAUGUAAAAAAAAGUUUUACAUAGUGUUUUUCCUGGUAGGGCCAGUUUGGUUGAAUUAAAGGGAGUUGGGAGACAGCUAAAACAGCCGACACUGGUAGGAAGAAAUGAAGAGAAUAGAUGGUUCAAAAGUCUUGUUUUGAUUUAAAAGAUUUUUUAUUUUUAUUUUUUAUUCUUCCAAUUUGUGGAUAAGAAUGGACCUGGUUGAAUUGUCUACUUGUUACAUUUUAAAAACUAUUAGCAUUAUUAAUAUUAAAAAAAAUAAAAAAAU